rnacentral:rRNA from 1 species
UUCGCAAUGCCCGAAAGGGUGACGAAGCGACGCCGCGUGGGUGAGGAAGGCCUUCGGGUUGUAAAGCCCUGUCAGGAGUUAAGAAAUGUAAGUGUGCUAAUAUCGCAUUUACUUGACGAAGGCUCCAAAGGAAGUCACGGCUAACUCUGUGCCAGCAGCCGCGGUAAUGCAGAGGUGGCAAGCGUUGUUCGGUAUUAUUGGGCGUAAAGAGCACGUAGGUGGGUUUGUAAGUCAGAUGUGAAAGCCUCCUGUUCAACGGGAGAAUUGCAUCUGAAACUACUGAUCUUGAGUGUAGGAGGGGAGAAUGGAACUUCUGGUGGAGCGGUGAAAUGCGUAGAUAUCAGAAGGAACGUCGGCGGCGAAAGCGACUCUCUGGCCUAUUACUGACACUGAGUGUGCGAAAGUUAGGGGAGCAAACGAGAUUAGAUACCCCGGUAGUCCUAACUGUAAACGAUGGGCACUAAGUAGAGGGGUUUU